rnacentral:rRNA from 1 species
AACGACUCUCGGCAACGGAUAUCUCGGCUCUCGCAUCGAUGAAGAACGUAGCGAAAUGCGAUACUUGGUGUGAAUUGCAGAAUCCCGUGAACCAUCGAGUCUUUGAACGCAAGUUGCGCCCGAGGCCUUUGGUCGAGGGCACGUCUGCCUGGGCGU